GGGUUAUACACAGUGUGGCACAAAGACCGGUGCAUCACCCAAAGGUCUCACCUCAGCAUGGCUGACAACUCAUGGAAGAUUCAUCCAAAAGGAUACCUGCACGAUCUGUAAGCAGCUCUUUGGAAGAGCUCCUUCUAACCCGGACAGAGGACAAUUAGCAGAAGGUUGUUCCUACCUCUCACUGUGUAUUCCUUCAAAGAUCAAACCCUGGCUGCCAGGCUUGCGGAGCAUGUGACCCUAACCCAGUCUCUGGUGGCGACUGAGGGCAGCAGCUAUGCCUAGCACAGAGGAAGUUCUCUUCAGGAGCAGCAGCAAGAGGCUAUAAGGACUAACAGAGUCUAGCAUCCUGGUGCCGAUUUCCUCUCCGGAAGCAACUGACUACAAGUUACCUCCGUGAGCCAGUCCAUGCCUGAUGUAUCAUGGGAAAAACUAAAGUUCCUGACAGCCUGUUACAUGCUACACACUCAGGGACUGGACAUAAAGAACCAGGAAGCUAGAACCAUGGUGUGAUUCAUCCUGGGAACAAACACACCGGAAUCUGAGCUGACCUCAGCUGCUGCACGGGCCCUCAAAUACAACUUCCUGCUCAAGAAAAUGCCAGUAGAGAUCAGAAUGCCUCGUGAGUGAGAAACUCGCAAGAAUUUAAAAUGCAGUUAUUUAAGGCCCCAAA